AUUAUGUUUCGCAAUUUCAUAAUCUAAUUUUUCAAUGUCUAAGUGACCCUUGGAUACAAAUCACGAGAAUGUGUAUUUGUUCUCGAAUCUGUCAUUGAGAGGAAAAGGAUUAAAUCCUUUUAAGUGACCCUUGGAUACAAAUCACGAGAAUGUGUAUUUGUUCUCGAAUCUGUCAUUGAGAGGAAAAUGAUUAAAUCCUUUUAAGAAAUAAAGUU
rnacentral:lncRNA from 1 species